AGAAGGCAUAAAGCCUUGUGUAACAGGGGUUGUACGUCAGAGCUCAGAUAGCACAGGACCUGGCAGCAGCCACACACAGGAUCUGCUCUGCAGCUUGUUUCAGCUCCGCACUCAUCCUGAUGGGCAACCUUAGGUUCAGAACACCAGGAAUCCUCCGUGUGGCCUCCCAGCCUCUCCAGAAGCCUGCCAUGAAGAGCUCCAAGGGAGGCCACAAGAAGAAGUGAGGCACUGACCUGUGGAAGGGGCAGACCUGUUUGGAUCCUGUGACUCUCUCCAUGCUCAUGAAACAGCAGCUUGCAGGAAGGCACUGAGGACAGUCUGCACUUCUGGGAGAGCAGCAGGCAAUUGCAUUUACCAAGCUACCAGCCAGAGGAGGGAGGAAGACGGCGGCUGUAG